AUACGGAGGGGGUUAGCGUUGUUCGGAAUUACUGGGCGUAAAGCGCACGUAGGCGGACUGGAAAGUUGGGGGUGAAAUCCCGGGGCUCAACCCCGGAACUGCCUCCAAAACUUCCAAUCUAGAGAUCGAGAGAGGUAAGUGGAAUUCCUAGUGUAGAGGUGAAAUUCGUAGAUAUUAGGAGGAACACCAGUGGCGAAGGCGGCUUACUGGCUCGAUACUGACGCUGAGGUGCGAAAGCGUGGGGAGCAAACAGGAUUAGAAACCCGAGUAGUCC
rnacentral:rRNA from 1 species